UCACUUCUUAGAAGCUACCCUCCUCUCUGUUACUCUCUUUUCUGUUCUCUUUUUCUCAUUCUCUCUCUCAUACCCUCUCCCCACUGGAAUUCUUUAUUCCAACACCAACACCCCAAGUCUCCCACCCCUGGGGAUACAGAAUGGGCAGGAGAUAAAUCUGCCCCAGGGUUUAAAAGCCUUGAAUAUAAAGGAAAGAUAAGGCUUGGGUAUACAGAGCUCUCAUUUGGGUUCCCUACUGAUAGGCAUCAUAAAGCAAGGGAGAUAAGGGCUUUGAGGCUCCAGGAGAAAGGCAGGAAUAGGAGAGGCCAGAGUCCUAACUGCUACACCAGGCCAGAGGCCACCAGAGACACCAGGAAGGCGGCAGGACCGUAGGCCAGUGAGGGCACAUGGGUGCUGAUCCACCCUCUUCAGAAGGCCAUCUCAGAAGGAAGUCCCCGAGGGCACAGGAAGUGAUUCUCUCUUCAUUGUCCCUACCCUCAAUGGCUGUUAACCCUGCCAUGAGUCCAAUAUUAAUAAGUGACUGCCCUCCGUGGUCUAAUUACAGCAGCCAGCUGCUUGCACAAUUCGGCAUUUAUUAGAGAGUCUUCAGGGAUGUCGCUCUGGUUCCUCCAGUUGGUUUUUUUUUUAAUUGAACACCUACUAUGUGUCAAAGGGUUAGUCUGCCCUGGACUAGGCACUGGUCCUGGAAUCUCUAUAGGGGUUGGAGGAGCCAAAAGAAAGUGGCCUGGGCAUUUUAGCCAAAAAAGCCUGGCAGUGCAAGCACAGGACCCCCAGGGAGGAGGCUGUGUCCACGCUGAUCUGAUCAGCAGUCCUCGUCUGUUGCUGAACUUGUGUCUAGAGCGUCACCCUGCACCUCUGGUUUUCUAUAAUCUAGAGGACCAAGUCAGAGGAUCAAGUCAGAAGGCAGGAAAGGAAUUUGGAGGGCAGAGGAGAGGUUAAUGGAGACCCAACUCAAGCCCACCCAUUCGGAGGCACAUACCAUCCAAUUGCUUCAUUUUCCUUGACCCAGGGAACCGACUUAGCCAGCUGCAGGUGCGAAGGGGGAGCCGCUACACAAGCUCAGGUCGUAGGGGCCACGGAGAAGCCAGCAGGGGCACCCGCCUUUCCUCUGCCAUCAAUCCAGUCACCAGAUAGGACUGUCAUUGAGGCCUUCAUCUCACUGAAACCUGGAAAGGCAGGAAUUAUCAGACCUAGUUUAUGACUGAGGACGGACGGGAGGUAGACAGAGGCGAAGUCACUUUGCUGGGGAGAAAGUGAAAGCGAGAUGGGAUAGAUUCUGCUGCCAUUUCCUUCACCGUAGUCUGCCCACUUUAUUGUGAGCCUUCCUGCCCUGAGCCUGGCCUUUGGCUCAAGGAGAGCUCCAAGAAAGGCCACUAGCUUGUUAGGAAACAGCCUGUCAGCUCUCUCCAAGAUCCUCCCUCCCUUCCCGCCCCCUCCCCAGUUCCAGCACCCCGAGGGCCAGGGGCUGGGCCUCCGUAAUUGUAGAGUAGUCUGCACAGGGCGGGGAAGAAUCUGACGUUUCCAAAGGCCGUUUUGAUGUUGAUGAUUAUGGCGGUGACGAGGCUGUCCUUCUCCUACCGAGAGCCAGGCCCUGACUUUGUUUUUCCCUCUAGCUCAGUGCUCUGAGAACUGUUUCUUAGGAGCAUCAGCACUGGCUUCUCUUUGACAAAGGGAGGGGACAGUGUGGUCACAGGGAAACCUGAAGGCAUAGCCCACCUUCACCUUCUCGCUGGGCACUGGGAUACACUCAGGAGAUCAUUAGCAUAACAUUUGCAUAAGAAACAAUUGAGGAGAUUGGAGUCCUGCCUCAGAGGAAACACCUGCAAUCAUCUGAGAAUGAAAGCCUUUCCAUCUCCACCGAGAUCCCUCGGCCCAACCCCCAGGAUUCCAAGAAUGUGGCUGGAACCCAGUUUGAUUAGUGAUGGUGGUGAUCAGUACCAUGCACAGAGCCCCUGCUAAGCACCAAGCACAGAUGUGCACGCUGUUUCUUUUGGUCUUCACAAAUGACUCCCCCGAGGUGAUAGGUUUUAUAAUCCCAUUUUACAGAGGAGGAAGCUAAGAAUCAUCUACAUUCUCCAUCUAUGUGCCUUCAGGACAGACGGGCUGUUAGCUUCUAGAAAAGGCCGGGAGACCUGUGCCCUCCACUCUCCCAGUCAAGCUGGGUGCUCUAAGUCUCCUCUGCAGCAUGCAGAUUCAGCGCCUGUGGGUUCCAGGAUUCCCCAGAGGCUCAGAUCAGAGCUCAGAGACAGGCUCUGAUCUAAUACACAGAUACACAUGCUCACACACUCACACACACAAAGCUCUGCCCCUCCCCCACUCCUGCUUCUCGAGGCAGAGGAGCCCGCUGACUCGGCCCAUAACCAGGUUAGCCAAGAUCCAAUUAACUAGUUAGCACAGGCAGGGCUGGGGGCAGGCAGGGCGUACAGGAGAGCGGACGGAUGGGUCGGGUAAUAGGCGGAGACAGCCAGAGACAUCGGCUCCAAGCUAACCUGAUAAGCAGCCCUCAGUAUCCAGGUGCCCUGCUUAGCUGGGUGGGAGACCCGACCCCAGCAGCUGAAGGGAGCGGGGGAGGGCUGGCUUCUUACCCUCUUCUGCCCUCCCCCAGUGAAUUCCCAGCACCCUCAGCCUAUGGCCUUCACUCUCAGCAACCCUCUCUCCCUUCUUUCAGAUGUUGUGAAGUUCCAGCUUCGGGAAGAUAGAUUUUCAUCCCAGUGAGGCCAGAGUAGGGACCUGGGCAUGUCUUAUCCUUCAGGAAAGGAAGCGGGAGGGAGAGGAGGGUUAGGAGCUGCUGGAGAUUGUGUGUGUGUGUGGGGGGGGGGGAGGUGAAUGUAACAAUAGCCACUAUUUAUGGAGUUCACCAAGCACUAGGCACCGAAUAACCAUUCAUGUGUACUAUCUCAUUUACGCUCCCAACAGUCCAUGGCAGUAGGUAUUAACAGAGCCCUCAUUUUGCAGAUGAGAAAAUGGAGACCCAAGGAACUUGCCCAAGGUCACACUUCCAAGCUGCCUCAAUCUCAAAAUGACUAUGCUGCAUCGAACCUCUGGACCAGGUCUUCAGCUGGCAAUAACACCAUUGCUUUGCACACCCCUGCAGGUUGACAAAGGUCGUCUGGCUCUGGCAUAGGCAGGUGCUUUACCGUAAGGUCGUUUUAUUUUCUGAUCUCCAUUUUGCAGUUAAAUGAAAUUGAGACCCCUGAGGAGCAAUGGGGUUCGAUCAAAGCCUCACCACUGGCAUUGGGCAGAACUUGAAUCCAGGCCAGUUCUGACUUCUCAUCUUGUACUCUUCGGGAGGCAGCACGAAAGGGAAAGACAGCCUGUCCUGCAGUCAAGAUAAGUACAGUCCUCACCAGUGACCUCAUUGAAUGCUACCUCAGAUGUGCUAGAAUGCCUAAGACAAGGGGAAAUGAAGAGAAAAACGUAUCUGCUACAUGCUGGCCUGACCUCAUGCUAAACGGUGCUCAGCCUGACCCUCGGAAUUAUCUGCGUCUCCUCAAGGCUCCAGUACUCUUCACAGUAUUUUGUGGCUCCGGAUUCCUGGACUCUGGAGUAGCGGAGAUUUUCUGGUUCUCACUUCCAUUAGCUUCUCACAGUGAUGCUCUGGCUUCGGGCCCAGUCCCCACUCACAGGUUCUGGAACUGAACUUGCAAGCCCCAGCACCCUCCCACCCAGCUCAAGACAGGGCCAGGGCUUGCUGGAGACUUGCACGGAAGCCAGAGGCUUUGUUCAUCUCCCUGACUGCAGUGGCUGGCAGGCCGGACCCACGUGUCUCAACCCCAGAGGUCGCUACCUCUCUGGGGUCAGAAGCAUGUCAACUCUGUCCUUGAGCAUGAUUCUGGGGUGAGCAGGAAAGAGACGAGGCCGGGUGGGGAGUGGAAAACUGCCCAGGAUGCACUUUCCCUGGUAGGGUUCUUGAUCCUGUAACCGAAAUGCACCCUGGAGCUCCUUAGCUUCUGCCUCUCUAUUCCACCGUUUCUGGUCACCUCCUCCCUCCCCGGCCUUCAGGGCUAUGACCCUCCACCUUGCCACACUCUGAAAGAUGAGCAAUGGUCAAAGCAUGAGCCAUCGGAGGUGAGUCAGUCUCUAGGGCAGUGGUUCUCAACCUUCCUAACGCUGCCACUCUUUAAUACAGUUCUUCAUGUUGAGGUGACCCCCCCAACCAUAAAAUUAUUAUUAUUAUUAUUAUUAUUAUUGGUCUUUCAAGACAGGGUUUCUCUGUAAAACAGUCCUGGCUGUCCUGGAACUCACUCUGUAGACCAGGCUGGCCUCGAACUCACAGAGAUCUUUCCUGCCUCUGCCUCCUGAGUGCUGGGGUUAAAGGUGUGCACCACCACUGCCCAGUUACUUCAUAACUGUAAUUUUGCUACUGUUAUGGAUUGUAAUGGAAAUAUCUGUGUUUUGACGGUCUUAGGCGACCCCUAUGAAAGAGUUGUUUGCCCCCCCCCAGGGGGGUCGAGGACUCACAGGUUGAGAAACACUGCUCUAGAGUGCCCUUAGAGACAACCGAAGUUCAAUCUGCCUUGGAAAAGGAAUGAGGCUAGGCUAGUGUUCACAAAACAGCCUAGGGGCAGUGCUCGCCAGUGACCUCUAGUGGGGGAGCAUCCCAAGAGAACUACCUGGGGUCUUAGGAAUUACUGAGCUGCUUCACUUUUAGGAGAGCCUGAUGUCGAAGGUGUGAGCUCCAGAGUUCGGUUUAGGAGCCUGAGGAAACGGUGGGUCUGAGAGGUUCUCACUCACGCUGCUAGGGAGACGCUGACCUGCAAUGGAAACUCAGGACUGCCUGCCUGACUGCUCAGUGGGAAUUUUGUGGGUCCUUCCCAAGGUUCGGUACCAUCCUCCACACACAGGCGUGCCAUCCCCUGGGUCCAGGCCUUCACUCCGUGCUCUAGUCCCUCUCACCCACCCGUGCUCCCUCUCUCCCAGCUCCUCCAGUCUCCUCGCACUCCCCACUUCCUUCCCUUUCACUCUUGGAAAGCAGCCAUGGGCUUUUUUCUUCCAUCUGAGGGAAAGAAAAUGGUCUCAUCCACUACACCUCAGGUCCCUCCAUCCUCUCAUCCAUCCAAACCUAAGCAUCUCUUUCUUUCUCUCUCUCCUCUCCCUCCUCAUUUCUUGCUUCCCCCACACUGCUGUUUAUCCAUCACUAGAAGCCACCCCCUUCCUUCUUGCCUGUAGGUUCUGUGGCUAUAAUCAAAUCAUAACUUUUAUUAAAUUUAAGAUUACUUUUUAAUGGAAUCAAUUUCUUGUGUGGUGCUUCUCUGCCUGCCCGCGGGCUCCGCCGGCUCUGUGCUCAGCAUCCCCACCCUCACAAUUGUCUCUGCCGCUGGCGUUUCUAGCUAAGCUGCCUCCCAAGGAGGGGUAGGUCUGCCAUCUCUACAUACAUCACACAGAAACACACACACACACUCGCGCACACACACACACACACACAUCAAGCUACGCCUUCCUCAAAACCCCA